rnacentral:rRNA from 1 species
AUUGAACGCUGGCGGAAUGCUUUACACAUGCAAGUCGAACGGCAGCACGGGGGCAACCCUGGUGGCGAGUGGCGAACGGGUGAGUAAUACAUCGGAACGUGCCCAGUCGUGGGGGAUAACGUAGCGAAAGCUACGCUAAUACCGCAUACGAUCUACGGAUGAAAGCGGGGGAUCGCAAGACCUCGCGCGAUUGGAGCGGCCGAUGGCAGAUUAGGUAGUUGGUGGGGUAAAGGCUCACCAAGCCUUCGAUCUGUAGCUGGUCUGAGAGGACGACCAGCCACACUGGGACUGAGACACGGCCCAGACUCCUACGGGGGGCAGCAGUGGGGAAUUUUGGACAAUGGGCGAAAGCCUGAUCCAGCCAUUCCGCGUGCAGGAUGAAGGCCCUCGGGUUGUAAACUGCUUUUUGUACGGAACGAAACGGCCUUUUUCUAAUACAGAGGGCUAAUGACGGUACCGUAAGAAUAAGCACCGGCUAACUACGUGCCAGCAGCCGCGGUAAUGU